AGAGUUUGAUCAUGGCUCAGGAUGAACGCUGGCGGCGUGCUUAACACAUGCAAGUCGAACGGAGUUAAUAAGUGGAAGUUUUCGGAUGGAAGCUUAUUAACUUAGUGGCGGACGGGUGAGUAACGCGUGGGUAACCUGCCUUACACAGGGGGAUAACAGCCGGAAACGGUUGCUAAUACCGCAUAAGCGCACAGUGUCGCAUGACACAGUGUGAAAAGAUUUAUCGGUGUAAGAUGGACCCGCGUCUGAUUAGCUGGUUGGUGAGGUAAAAGCUCACCAAGGCGACGAUCAGUAGCCGGCUUGAGAGAGUGACCGGCCACAUUGGGACUGAGACACGGCCCAAACUCCUACGGGAGGCAGCAGUGGGGAAUAUUGCACAAUGGGGGAAACCCUGAUGCAGCGACGCCGCGUGAGUGAAGAAGUAUUUCGGUAUGUAAAGCUCUAUCAGCAGGGACGAUAAUGACGGUACCUGACUAAGAAGCCCCGGCUAACUACGUGCCAGCAGCCGCGGUAAUACGUAGGGGGCAAGCGUUAUCCGGAUUUACUGGGUGUAAAGGGAGCGUAGACGGUGUGGUAAGUCAGGUGUGAAAGCCCGGGGCUCAACCCCGGGAUUGCACUUGAAACUAUCAAACUAGAGUGCAGGAGAGGUAAGUGGAAUUCCUAGUGUAGCGGUGAAAUGCGUAGAUAUUAGGAGGAACACCAGUGGCGAAGGCGGCUUACUGGACUGUAACUGACGUUGAGGCUCGAAAGCGUGGGGGAGCAAACAGGA
rnacentral:rRNA from 1 species